GACGAAAGCAUCGAAGGUGACAGCGACGGUGAAGUCAGUCGCAUCGACUUUCGCGGUGUAAAUCUGCGCACCAAGAAAAAGCGAGACGCGGCGGGGCGAGAUGACAGCGAUGUCGUGCAUCAACAACCUGAAAGGCCAAUGUCGUGGGAAGGAGAACUGUCCGAUCAGGAGAUGUCGUCCAACACUAUCACUCAGGAUCACGAGGAGACAUCGAUGGAAGGCGUGCAAGUGUGCAGUUCGAGUCCCAGUCCUCAAGAACACAAGUUUCCAAUCAAACCCGAACCGGACUUUCGCUCGAGUCCUGGUCUACAGAGCCUUGCUGGCAAUUCGCUGAACGAAACGAUCGUCGCCGUACCUCAUGUGCAACAGCAGCUCCAUCAUCACCAGCAACAGCAGCAGCAGCAGCAUCACCACCACCAGCACCAGCAUCAGCAGACGCAGCAGCAGCAACAACAGCAGAAUCUCGAGCAGGGACAGCAAAGCGACCUGCCACUUCUCGUUGGCAAACUGCUCGGCGGCUGCAGCAGUUCCACGCCCAAUCACAGUCCUGUGCUCAUACCUAGGCACCAUCUCACCAAACACAGCCAUACUCGAUCUCAGGUCCCAUCGCCAGACUCAGCGAUUCAUUCGGCGUACAGCGUGUUCAGUUCGCCAACUCAAUCGCCGCACGCUGGUCGUCACUCGGCCCUCGGUCCCGGUUCGCCAGUACCCUCCUCAUCGCUCUCACUCUCCCGGCACAGCUUUAACAAUUCUACGUCCUCGCUGUCGCUCUCGUUGUCGCACUCGCUGUCGCGCAACAAUUCGGACGCGUCGAGCAGCUGCUACAGUUACGGCUCUCUCAGUCCGCCGACGCAUUCGCCAGUCCAGCAACGUCACGCGCAUCAUCACGCCGCCGCUCAACAACAGGCUGCUGCGCUACAUUUACAAUCGGGAGUCGCCCAAGCGGCGCAUCAUUAUGCCGCUGGCCCAGGAGUCGCAGCUGGAGACUCGAGCGACGCUCACCUCGAUGAUCAAGACGACUGUAGAUUGCCCUCCGCACCGUCCGGCAUCUCCACCAGGCAGCAGCUCAUCAACAGUCCCUGCCCGAUUUGCGGUGAUAAAAUCAGCGGAUUUCACUACGGUAUUUUCUCUUGUGAGUCCUGUAAGGGCUUUUUUAAGAGGACGGUGCAAAAUCGCAAAAAUUACGUGUGCCUUAGAGGGGCAGGCUGUCCGGUAACGGUGGCAACGCGCAAGAAAUGUCCAGCCUGCCGCUUCGACAAGUGCCUCAACAUGGGUAUGAAGUUAGAGGCGAUCAGAGAGGAUCGAACGCGCGGUGGCCGUAGCACUUAUCAAUGCACGUACACGUUGCCUGCCAAUUUGAUGGGUAGUCCAGGCAUGAGCUCCGACAAGAUGGGUCAAGGUGGUCCUUGCAGUCCUGCGUCCGUAGGUGGCGAGCAUCAUCACUCCAUGAAGCAGCACUCCAAUCAUUCCCACAAAGUGCAGGUGGUACCGCAGCUACUUCAGGACAUCAUGGAUGUCGAACAUUUGUGGCAUUACAAUGAUAACGACAGAGUUGGCGCUAUGAGCUCGCUUAAUCUUUCUCAGUCACUGCCCAAUAGCGCGAGUGGUGACUCGUUGAGCGGCUUGAGUACUUCGAAUGGUCUAGCUAGUAGUUCAAGUGGUAGCAAUCUGAGCAGUGCCACGAGCAAUGGCAAUCUCACCCCUCAACCAGACCCAAUUCGCCCAAAUUCAACCAAUUCAGCAUCAUCCACUCCGACUUUGGAACAGCAACACUCACCUCCGUCUCUUUCGUCCAGCAAUCCACCGAGUAGCUCGUCUAACAGCAACUCUACGCAGCAUCCGGAUUUUCUGUCAAACUUGUGCAAUAUCGCUGAUCAUCGACUCUAUAAGAUCGUUAAAUGGUGCAAAAGUCUGCCUCUCUUCAAAAAUAUUUCCAUCGACGAUCAGAUUUGUUUGCUCAUCAACUCCUGGUGCGAAUUACUACUAUUCUCUUGUUGUUUUCGUAGUAUGAGCACUCCUGGUGAAAUUAGGGUUUCGCUUGGCAAGUCUAUUACUCUGGAGCAAGCUAAACAGCUGGGACUGGCUACGUGUAUCGAGAGAAUGCUGGCAUUCACAAAUAAUUUGAGGCGACUCAGGGUCGAUCAAUACGAAUAUGUCGCUAUGAAGGUAAUAGUGUUGUUGACAUCGGAUACGAGUGAAUUAAAGGAGCCUGAGAAGGUGCGCGCCUCGCAAGAAAAAGCUUUGCAAGCGCUACAACAAUACACAAUCGCUAGGUAUCCGGAAAUGCCAGCCAAGUUCGGUGAGCUUCUACUACGAAUCCCUGACCUACAAAGAACUUGUCAGGUAGGCAAAGAGCUUCUGAGCGCCAAGCGUGCAGAAGGUGAAGGUUGCUCCUUCAAUCUUUUGAUGGAAUUGCUUCGAGGGGACCAUUAAUGCAAUUCUAACAAGUGCAGUAUAAGCGCAGAUAUGUCAUAGUACGCGACUGUCUGAAGUGAGAACGAUAAAAUUAUUGAGGGAAGAGCUUUAUUAUCAAAAAACAAAGAAAAAAACAAGAAAACAAAAAAUGAAAAGCAAGAAAAAAUAACGGGGGCUCGUAAAGUUCGCGACGAACUUUUUUUACGAAGCAACCUGUUUUUUCUUUGCGGAAUAUAUUCCUCGACUAAAUGUGGUUGUUAGGUACUUAUUUAAUUGUAAAAGUCUAAAUCAUACUUUAAAGCUAUCGUACAUUAUUUGACACUUGAAAAACAAAGCGAAACAUUUCGUAAAAGUUUAUAUUUAUUAAAAGAUAUACUUAUUUUGAGUAGGAACAAAUUAAUGAAUUUCUUUUGUAAUUUUGUAACUUAGGUUUUCUUUAUUUAGAAGUUUGAAUUAGAUUCGUACUUCUGUAUAUGAUAUUCGUUUCAUCAAAUCGAUAAAUUGGUAGAAGAUAAGAAAUCCAUUAUCAAUCAAAAUUUUAUGGUAAAAAUAUUUUUAAAUCGUACUAUAAUACAGGUUUUUACGCUGAUAUUAACGCUCUUUAAAUUGUGUUUGCUUAUUCGAAAUAUCUUAUUUUUCUAGCAAUAUGUUAGAAAAAAACGGAUAUAUUCGAAUAGCAGACCUAAAGCUCUUUCACAAGUGAUAUGUUCGUGAUUUUCAAAUUUGGCAUAUUACGGGUCCAUGAACUUCAAUUAAAAUUAAAUCAUACGAACGUUGAAAGUUUAUAUAUAGAAACUUUUUAAAAAUUAUGAAAGUAAAAUGACGAAAAAUGCGCAUGUCCGUGUUAGCGUUAGCUCGUGGUGACGGGACUACUUUUCUAUAGAGUUAUUUCAAAAGUAUGUAAACUGAUAAAGGACUUAUAUAAAAAAAAAUAUAUAUAUAUUAUAUUAUUAUAAAAAAAAUAAAAUUUAUAUAUACAGUUUAUAAAUAUGCAUAUACGAAUAGAUAGAUACAGCUAUAUAAAUAUAUUAUAUUUUUUACUGAAAAAUGCUUCCAUACAAGGCCUGCGUGAAUUUAGCAUUCCUGCCUUAAAAUAUACAGGAGUUUCGUAGUAGCCUACAGUAUGAUUGUGCGUCCAAUGUGCUUUGAAUGAAAAGACGAGACUGACAAAAAUAACGCUAAAAUCCAGGGGAUCGCAAGCGAAUGCACGUUUUUGUGCCAGUGUUAUAAAAAAAAGUUAUUUUGACCAUAUGUAUUUUUUGCUCGCUCCAAAUUUUAUGUCAUUAUUAAAGGCUUCUACUAUUUACUAUGAAAAUUGAUCGAAUCAAAGUGAUAAAAGACAGAAAAAAUUAAUGUACAUUUCGUUGGAAUGCAACGUAUACAUAUGUCAAUCAUAAUUCGUGCAUUUGCAUAUUUAGACAUCCGUUUUUACUCGUGAUCUUGUGUUAGUAUGUUUGUACAUCUGAAAAUAUUUUGUGAGCGAGUGAGUCGAAAAUUAGAUUAAAAAUAAUAAGCGUGGAUCGCAGUGUGCGCCAAUACAGUGCAGCAAAAAUCUGCAAUUGCCAAGGCCACAUUUUGUUAUGGUUACUAAUUAAGUUUGGUACUAAAAGCAUCACGUGGUAUCCGAAGAAUUCCGGAACUUACGAGUCGCGACUUGGUUCUUCUGGCUUUCUUUCU